GAAUAUUAAAGGGCCGCGGUAUCUUGACCGUGCAAAGGUAGCAUAAUCAUUAGUCUUUUAAUUGGAGGCUUGUAUGAAUGGUUGGACAAGGGAAUUACUGUCUCUAUAAUAAUUUUAAAAUUUGACUUUUAAGUGAAAAGGCUUAAAUGUGUUAGGGGGACGAUAAGACCCUAUAAAGCGUUAUGUUGGGGCGACAAGAGUAUAAAUUUUAACUGCUUUAAAAUAAUACAUUUAUAUAUGUAAUGAUCCUCUUUAGGGAUUAAAAGAUUAAGUUACUUUAGGGAUAACAGCGUUAUUUUCUUUGAGAGUUCUUAUCGAAAAGAGAGUUUGCGACCUCGAUGUUGAAUUAAAAUUUCUAUUUAGUGCAGCAGCUGAAAUAGAGGGUCUGUUCGACCUUUGAAUUUUU
rnacentral:rRNA from 1 species